GGGGAAUCUUGGACAAUGGGCGCAAGCCUGAUCCAGCCAUGCCGCGUGAGUGAAGAAGGCCUUAGGGUUGUAAAGCUCUUUUGGCAGGGACGAUAAUGACGGUACCUGCAGAAUAAGCCCCGGCAAACUUCGUGCCAGCAGCCGCGGUAAUACGAAGGGGGCUAGCGUUGUUCGGAAUUACUGGGCGUAAAGCGCACGUAGGCGGGUCGUUAAGUCAGGGGUGAAAUCCCGGAGCUCAACUCCGGAACUGCCUUUGAUACUGGCGAUCUAGAGAUCGAGAGAGGUGAGUGGAAUUCCGAGUGUAGAGGUGAAAUUCGUAGAUAUUCGGAAGAACACCAGUGGCGAAGGCGGCUCACUGGCUCGAUACUGACGCUGAGGUGCGAAAGCGUGGGGAGCAAAC
rnacentral:rRNA from 1 species